UGCACGCGAGGUCGCGUGUUCGAAUCCGGGCAAAGGCAUUUUGUUUUAUCAGCUUAUUUCAGGCGUUUUAUUUUUUUAAAAUAAAUAAUAAUGCAAUCAGAAAAUGAUGUUUAGUUCCAAAAAAUUAAAACGCUGAUUGGGAAUUUAGGAUUUAUUAGUUUAAUCCCUAAUUAUAAAGUCAAAUAUUAAAAAAUCCGUUUCUUCUUGAUUCGACCGUUUAAUCCGACCCGUUUAUAUCCGAUUCGACCCGUUUAUUUGUGGAUAUUAUUUACGUGAUUAAUUUUUUUUGAACCCCCUUGAUGAAAAUCCUCCCUCCGCCACUGC
rnacentral:lncRNA from 1 species